ACUCCUACGGGAGGCAGCAGUGGGGAAUAUUGCACAAUGGGGGAAACCCUGAUGCAGCCAUGCCGCGUGUGUGAAGAAGGCCUUCGGGUUGUAAAGCACUUUCAGCGAGGAGGAAAGGGUGUAAGUUAAUACCUUACAUCUGUGACGUUACUCGCAGAAGAAGCACCGGCUAACUCCGUGCCAGCAGCCGCGGUAAUACGGAGGGUGCGAGCGUUAAUCGGAAUUACUGGGCGUAAAGCGUGCGCAGGCGGUUUGUUAAGCGAGAUGUGAAAGCCCCGGGCUCAACCUGGGAACCGCAUUUCGAACUGGCAAACUAGAGUCUUGUAGAGGGGGUAGAAUUCCAGGUGGUAGCGUGAAAUGCGUAGAGAUCUGGAGGAAUACCGGUGGCGAAGGCGGCCCCCCUGGACAAAGACUGACGCUCAGGCACGAAAGCGUGGGGAGCAAACAGGAUUAG
rnacentral:rRNA from 1 species